GUUGCCUUCCAAAUCAACAUGGACUAGGGUUAGGGUUCUUAACAUGAACGACACCGAAAUGGACCAACUUGCUGAUUUCCUGGGACAUGAUAUUCGUAUCCACAGGAAAUAUUACAGAUUACCCGAGGGAACACUAUUAACAGGGUAUGUAACCUGUUAAUCGAGUUUAAACUACCUGUCAAGCGUGUCCUAGUGACUUUGGAAGAAUCUGUGCAUAUGUCUGAAUACGAAGACUAUAUUUCAGAGUGCGUUGAGCCUGAUCCUGGGAUAGAGAGUGAAACAGAACUGUCAGAUCAUUCUCAUGAUUUGUAAACACAUUUUUUUAAGAUGUUUGUAAUUUCCAUUAGUUAAAUAAUAAUUAAAUCAUGCCUUCAAGCAGGCACUUCAGGAGUGAAUAGCAGCAGGCCAGUAAACAUGAAUGAAGGUAAGACGUAUGAACAAGCAGUUAAAUGUUUAAAGCAAUUAGAAUAUCAAGAAUUCCCCCCAAACAGCCAAUCAGUAAUUAGUAGUUUGAUUUAGAAAUGUAUAUGAUUGUGUUUCUAAAGGAUCUCCAGAGAGGACACGGGAGGUCAUGAAAGUAACAUCAGUUCCUAGGAAGAGAAAGUGGAGUGAGGUGGAGAUUGCGGCUGUAGAAGAGACAAUGAUGAAAUGUAUUCACUCGGGAGUUACACCUGGAAAAGUCGACUACAUUGCAUGCAUUACAGAAGCCCCCAAAGCCCUCGGUGAACGAGACUGGCAGGCGGUGAAGUAUUAUAUAAAAAACAAUCACAGCAUAUGAGAGAAAGACCACUAAAAAGUAAGGUUGAUUUUGGUUGUUGAUUCCGUUUUUGCGUUUUAGUUGAAUUAUAAUAUUUUUUUUUUGGUCUCAAUACUAGGGCUGCACGAUAUUGGGGAAAAAGGACAUUGCGAUAUCUUAUUUUUCUGCGAUAUAUAUUGCGAUAUGAUAUCUAAUAUAAUUUUUUCUUACAAACAAACAUGGCAUGAGCACACAUACAUUCUCAUUUUAAAUGAUUUAAACAUCAGAGUAUUGUUUAAAUUAGAGUAAAUUAUUUGUUUGUAACUUUAGGAUAUGGUUUGAAUUGUUAACAUUUAACUAACAUGAACUUACCAUGAGCAAUACUUGUGUUACUAUAUUUUUUAAUCUUUGUUUAUCUUCGUUAUCUUAAAAACACAGCUGUUCAUUGUUUGGUAAUGUUACUUCACAGUAGGGAUGCACCGGUUGACCGGCCAUUAAUCGGAACCGGCCGGUUUUUGCUUAAAAUACGCAAUCGCCCGUUUUUGGUGUUUUUCCGGCCGAUUUUUCCGGAAGUGCGCUCGCGUGCACAGACUACAUUGUAAUCGUUUGCUAUGUAAUUUGUGUGGAAGAGUAUUUCGAAAUCUGUGCGCAGGACACAGGCAGCCGAUCAGUACCGGAAAUGCAGAGCUUCAUGUCUGAGGCACAGAUGGCAGGAAGUGAACAGCCGCUGUUGUACUGCCGCACAAAUAAGAGCCUUUCCUGCACACUGAAGCUGCGCGAGCGUAUACUGUAUCUGUCCGCGCCCUGAACACGAGUAGACCGUGAAGAGAUGUUCAGCUCAACUUCUCACGUGUUGGAUGAGAAACGAAAACGGACUAAACUGUGACAAAACAGAAUUAUUUUUUAUUUAUUUAUUUUACUUUUUAUUAUUAUUAUUAGAACUUGCAUUCAUGUUUGAAAAGCCAGAAAUAAACUUCAGUUCUGAAUUAGGAUGAUUAUUUUUAUUUUACCCUAAAAUAGACUUAAUUUAAUUUAAAAAUCAUCUGCUGUAGCACACUGAAAAAAAGUAUUUCAUCUAAUUAAAAUAUUUUAGGGUAAUGAUUCACAUCUAUAUUUUUUUUACUUGAGUCAACAAGUUAUUUAUUUUUCAUUGGCUCAAGUAAAAAAAAUAUAGAUGUGAAUCAUUAUCCUAUUUAUUUAUUUUUAUUAUUAUUGGAUGAAUGAAACCCUUUGCAUCUUUGUUUUAUUCGCACAAACAUUAUUUGAUUUUAACAUUUUGGAAAAUGUAUUUAUAUAGCAUACUUUUAUUUAGUCUCACUGGUAAAGACCUUUUUUUUUAACUUAAAACCAAAUUUAAAAACUAAAAUACUGAAUGCUGAUCAAGAAACAUCUUUUUGAAUGUGUGUUGAUUGUGUUGUUUGGACUGUAGAACUAUGCAGUUGUUACCUUUAAUUUCACAUGGUUACAGUUAAUCUUUUAUUUAAGGCCAGUUCUCUGUAGUUUCAACCCAAUUAAAAAACAAAAGCUAAAUGCUGAUGUCUGUACCAUCUGUGUUUGUAUUGAAUGUAGGCUACUUAUUGUACAGUAACUGCCUUUAAUUUCAGAUGGUUACAGUUAUUGUUUUCAAUAGCCAAAAGCAAGUGUAAUUAUCUCUGCAGUUUAGGAUAUCGCACAAGAUUUGACAACACAGAACACGUCAUCACAGAAUUAUAAUUUUUUUUUCCGACAUCGUUUUUUGAUUUUGAUAAAUUUGCGCGAGGGAGAGAGCAAGACAGCGCUUGUGUUGUUUGAAGACGGUGAAGGUGGGCGUGAGCGCGUGGCUGGGCCCUCUCUCUAUCUCUCUCUCUCUCUCUCGUGCUCUUUCUCUCUCUCUCUGCUCGUUCUUAUGCGCUCUGUUAAACUGCUAGGACUUAAACUGUGCAAUUAAUCCGCGAAUCAAAUUCGGCUAGGGCCGGGGAGCAGCUGCCCGUACAGUUAAUGAAUAACGGAUCAACUACGACAGCCUACAUCGCACAUCCUGCAAUGUGACUAUCGUGGAUUCGUACAUCGCGAUAUCGAUGCUUAAACGACACAUCGUGCAGCCCUACUCAAUACCGUAGUUGAAACAUUAUAAUGUAACUUAAGUUUUGAAAAAGUUAAAACGGCUUGAUGUUGGUUGUAAAUUUGGUGCCUGGACUUCCUUGUUUUUUAAUGCUGUGUCAAGUGAUAAGCAGUUGGUGUAAAUGUUUUUUCUAAUUGCGUAGAUUAGUUUUACUGUACAGUAGCCAUACGACAGAGUGAGUGUCUAUAGUAUUCAAUGCCUUUAUUCAGGCCCCUUUACGUUUCACAUUUUAAUUGUAAAUUGAUUAAUUUAUUUUCUGAUGGCACAUUAGACGAAACGCAUCAUAAAAACUAUGUUGUAAUAUCUGAUGGCAAGCACUGAACCCAUACUGUACUGAUUAAAUUUGGCUGUAGAUUCAAUUUGUAUCAAGGUCGUUUUUAUUUCUCUUGGAUUUCUUUUAAUGAUUUAAAGAUUAAAUUCUUAGAGCAUUUCAAAACCAGACAAAAAAAAAACAAAACAUUCCACUGAUAACGUUCAUAAUUUUAGACAAUUUAAGAAUUGUAGCUCUGAUCUAACCUUUCCGAAUGUGUUAUUACUGGUUAACUACAGGAUACUUAACUUUACCUCAAACAUAAUACAUACUUUUAAAAGUAAGCUUACCAUGUAUACGUUUAAUUGGUAUGGUAAUUAAAAAAAAAAAAAAUUUGUGUGUAUUUACUUAUUGUGUGCUCUGUCAGGUUUAGGGUGGGUGUUUGUAAAAGCACUAUGUGACAACUUUAUUUUAAAGGGCUUUAUAAUAUAUAUUAGAUUGACUUUGAUAAGAGCAGCAAAAUCACAUUCAACGUACGUCUCUCAUGGGUCAUAAUAAUCAGUAAAUUUAGCAACUAAAUUGUGUAAGAAUUAGUUAAAUGCAGUAUAUGAUUGUGGCAGUCUUAGUGGACUGAAAUGGCUUGCAGUUGAAGAUUGCAUGUUGUUCAAGUUCAUUUUUGAAGUCAAGCUGAACUAACUUAUUAAACCACCCUAUUUUUAACAAACCAAUAUAACUUCCAGAAAUACCAUUAUGAAUUGGCCAGCUGGCCAUAUUAUGACCUUUCUUUGUCUGUAGAUUACACUGGUUUGUCCCCAGAUUGGACAUCCAUGUGUACUUACUCAUACACUAGUUGGUCAGGGUUUUGUCCCCAGAUGGGACUUCCGUUAAUGCCCAUAUAUGGAGUUGUCCCCGUGUCCCCACGUGUUAACCUGACCUGUCCCCAGAUUAUCACCUACCCUUAUUUUAAUGAAUUAAUUACAUUUUAAGUGAGAUAUUUAUUAAACUUUUUUUUUUAGAUUUUUUGAU
ensembl:lncRNA